rnacentral:rRNA from 1 species
UACGAAGGGGGCUAGCGUUUUUCGGAAUUACUGGGCGUAAAGCGCACGUAGGCGGAUUAGUAAGUCAGGGGUGAAAUCCCGGGGCUCAACCUCGGAACUGCCUUUGAUACUGCUGAUCUCGAGUCCGGAAGAGGUGAGUGGAAUUCCUAGUGUAGAGGUGAAAUUCGUAGAUAUUAGGAAGAACACCAGUGGCGAAGGCGGCUCGCUGGUCCGGUACUGACGCUGGGGUGCAAAAGCGUGGGGAGCAAAAGGG